UACGUAGGGUGCAAGCGUUGUCCGGAAUUAUUGGGCGUAAAGAGCUCGUAGGCGGUCUGUUGCGUCGGCUGUGAAAACCGGGGCUCAACUCCGGGCCUGCAGCCGAUACGGGCAGACUAGAGUUCGGCAGGGGAGACUGGAAUUCCUGGUGUAGCGGUGAAAUGCGCAGAUAUCAGGAGGAACACCGGUGGCGAAGGCGGGUCUCUGGGCCGAUACUGACGCUGAGGAGCGAAAGCGUGGGGAGCGAACAGG
rnacentral:rRNA from 1 species